GACGGACGGACGGACUGACUGACUGACGGACGGACGGACGGACGGACUGACGGACGGACAGACUGACGGAGAGAUUCAGCCACACGGACCGAGCGACUCUGCUCCCUCCGGGCUCUUCCUGCUCUCUGAACCACAGACGGAAGAUAAAACUGGAGCGCGAGAGCGUGCUCACGCAUUUCCCCCCGAGGGAACACUGAAGCCAUGUCACAGAGACAGAGGAUGUUCUAUAUUUAAAGAAUUAAGGAAAAUAAUUCUAUUUUUUUGGUGCUUUUUUUUUGUUACAGAAGACUGAAAAGAUUGUAAAAUGAUAAAGGGCUGUCCACAGGAAGGACUAAAACCCUGUUUGAUAGAGUCAAUUUGAGAUUUUUAAUUCCAUUUUACCCUUCAAUGUUGAGAGUAUGAGAACAAGGAAAGCAGAGGUUAAAUAUUCCUCUCCAAAUAAGAUGCUUACAGUAUGUGGCCAUAUUGAUGGCUGAGAACGCCACAGGCAAGAGGAACAGUCACAGUUGGCAUGUUUCAAUUUCUACAUUCCCUACACGUUAUUUGGCAUUGUGUAUGUUUGUAUCUGAACAAAAACAAGCAAGUUUGUUAUUUUUAAUUUCUCUGUAUGAUCAUGCUCGGGAUGUGUGAUGCGAUGGUACUGCCUGGAUGCAUCUCUGAAUGAUUUAUCUUUACGAUUACGAUUUAGUGUAAAAUGCACUGGUGUGAAACACACUGCGCAUGCUGUUCUGGGUCUAAGAGCAGAAAAACAGUACUGGAAUGAGUAAAAACAGAGUUUCUGAAUGUUUCCCCCUUUUCCAAACUGCACAUGAUCAUGAGUACCGGAGUUUGCACCUUCUCUGUGUCGUCUGAAAUGUCCUCAUUUGAACCCUAACUGUCCACGAUAAUCAGUAAUGAAACUACUGAAUUGGUACAGCAUCGCUUGUGCUUAAAUCGCGGCUACACAGGUGAGCGUAUGUCCCCAUUUAAAAUGGAUGUUUUAAUGGGUGGUGCUUAGCUGUAAAUACACGUCUUACACAGAGACUGAAUGUUUUCAUAUAAUGCACCUGAAGCAUGCUACACCUUGCUUUUAAAUGAAAUUUUAAAUGUAUGAUUUUUCUUUUGUUUUUAUGUUGCGUUGGGCAGACUUGUCCGAGACUGCUGAUGCGGGGGGGGGGGGGGGGGGGGGGACGUGGUUACCAUGAGAACAUAGUCCUGGGGUGGCGGCAAAAUCAUGAAAACUGUUCAGCCCUUUUUUUUUGCAUUUUUCUGAUCUUUAAUUCACAUUUCCUUCUUUCAGCAACGUGGAAACACCCCACAUUCAUCUCAGUGACCAAAUUCAGCCCGUUUGCAUUUAGACGUGAGGUUCACAUGGAUAAAAAGUCUUAAGACAACUUUGUGUGUCACCCUGAAGAUCUAAUCACUAAUCACCGAAUGCUCGUCAUUAUGAGCACCUCGUGGGAUUGGUUAAUUGUACUGUGAGGAGUGAUGUAACGGGUUUGUCUGACUCGCAGUGUGAGUCAGGGUGCUGCCUUAAUGCAGUAAGUGGGAGGAUAAGCAGCCCUACGUCGUCGCUGGUUUUCAAGAAUCAUGUAACUUAGGUUACCGAGUGAAGAAUAGGCUGGUGCUCAUACCCCUGGGUCACUUCUUGAGAGAGGCCAGAUUCUGGUUACAGGAACCUCCCCAUAUCCUUACUUAGCAGUUUACCGCAUUUGCAAGCAAUCGUGCCGAAAAAUGUUUUUCCUCUCAGAAGAUUUUCCUUUAUUAUUAGGUUAUUAGAUUUUUUUUGAAUUUGACUAGAUGGUGCACCUGCAGGAUUGUUUUUGUAUUCCGGGCACGUCAGUGUGCCUCUUCCUCUCCUGCUGGAUCCGUUGAUCAGCUGACCUCAUGUCACGGUGAAAAGUGUUCAGACAUUCCCAUAAUGCCUUGCUUCAGGGAAGAUGGAGGGAUUGGUGGAUUUGGCACUGCUCAGGUUCAGAUGGUAGUCUUUUUUUGGGGUGGGGUGGGGGGUGGGGUGCAGGGUGGGUGAUAUUUUAUACAUUGUUUUUUUUAUUUGUCAGUCCAUUCAUAUUUAAGUUUUUGUAUUUGAUCAAAUGGGUAGGGAGUCCAGGUGUGCUCUGGUCAGGUAUACCUCAGGUGUGCUCUGGUCAGGUGUGCCUCAGGUGUGCUCUGGUCAGGUGUGCCUCAGGUGUGCUCUGGUCAGGUAUACCUCAGGUGUGCUCUGGUCAGGUGUGCCUCAGGUGUGCUCUGGUCAGGUAUACCUCAGGUGUGCUCUGGUCAGGUGUGCCACACACACACUGGCAGGUGUGUUAACGGGAGCGCUGGCUCGUCUGUAUGUGCAGUCUGGGCGGGGUCUGCUGCUCAGUGAGGGUGUGAGGAUGCAGCUCCUGAGCCCCCCUACAGGACCCCGCUGUCCCUCCGCUUUCUUACUGCAAGAAAAGACUGGAUAUAAUUAACUAUGUCUUAUUUUAAUUCUGUAAGUGACUGGAAAAUAUCAUGUGAAAAAAAUAAUAAUAAAGUGUUUUAAAGAAUA